rnacentral:rRNA from 1 species
UACGGGGGGAGCAAGCGUUGUUCGGAUUUACUGGGCGUAAAGGGCGCAUAGGCGGCCACCGCAGGUCGACUGUGAAAUCUUCGGGCUUAACCCGGAAAGGUCAGCCGAUACUGCGGGGCUAGGGUGCAGAAGGGGCAACUGGAAUUCUCGGUGUAGCGGUGAAAUGCGUAGAUAUCGAGAGGAACACCUGCGGCGAAGGCGGGUUGCUGGGCUGACACUGACGCUGAUGCGCGAAAGCUAGGGGAGCGAACGGG